rnacentral:rRNA from 1 species
UCGACCUUCGGGUCACAUGAGUGAGUGGCGAACGGGUGAGUAACACGUGAGAAACCUGCCCCGAAGACUGGAAUAACCCGAGGAAACUCGGGCUAAUACCGGAUAUCCCCACCAGGUCGCAUGGCCAGGUGAGGAAAUGCUCAGGCGCUUCGGGAGGGUCUCGCGGCCUAUCAGCUAGUUGGUGAGGUAACGGCUCACCAAGGCAACGACGGGUAGCUGGUCUGAGAGGACGAUCAGCCACACUGGGACUGAGACACGGCCCAGACUCCUACGGGAGGCAGCAGUGGGGAAUCUUGCGCAAUGGGCGAAAGCCUGACGCAGCCACGCCGCGUGAGGGAUGAAGGCUUUCGGGUUGUAAACCUCUUCCAGCAGGGACGAAAAUGACGGUACCUGCAGAAGAAGCUCCGGCCAACUACGUGCCAGCAGCCGCGGUAACACGUAGGGAGCAAGCGUUGUCCGGAUUUAUUGGGCGUAAAGAGCUCGUAGGCGGUUCGGUAAGUCGGGUGUGAAAACUUGAGGCUCAACCUCAAGAGGCCACUCGAUACUGCUGUGACUGGAGUCCGGUAGAGGAGUGUGGAAUUCCUGGUGUAGGCGGUGAAGUGCGCAUAUAUCAGGAAGGAACACCGACGGCGAAGGGAGCACUCUGGGCC